rnacentral:rRNA from 1 species
CUUGGUCAUUUAGAGGAAGUAAAAAAUCGAAACAAAGGUUUCCCGUAGGAGAAACCUGCGGAAAGGAUCAAUAAAAAAAAAUAUGGCCCCACGCAGCCAGACAGUUAAAACCUGUCUGUCACUGCGUGGGCUGUAUACAACCACCUGUUUACCUUUACCUGUUGCUUCCGUGGAAUUACGGGUGCCCUUCCUGUUCGCAGGCUUGGGUUACCUUCCACGGGUGAAUUCUUAAAAUCGUUUUUGUAUGUAUUGUCUGAUAUAAAUUUUUAAUAAAAGUUAAAACUUUCAACAACGGAUCUCUAGGUUCUCGCAUCGAUGAAGAACGCAGCGAAAUGCGAUAAGUAGUGUGAAUUGCAGAUUUCAGUGAAUCAUCGAAUCUUUGAACGCACAUUGCGCCCUUUGGUAUUCCGAAGGGCAUGCCUGUCUGAGCGUCAAUAAAUCAAUCAAACCUUGGUUUGGUAUUGGGAGAAGUGGCAUUGCCUCUCUCCUCUAAGCUAUUGGCGGCGCUAUUUCAGCUUGUAAGAUGUAGUAAGUAAUUUCUCGUCAAAACAACUGGGUGGUUGCCUGCCAACUGAACGAUUUAUUUUACAGCUUGACCUCAGAUCAGGUAGGGUUGCCCCCUGAAUUUAAGCAUAUCAAUAAGCGGAGGA